CAGCAGCCGCGGUAAUCCGUAGGUGGCAAGCGUUGUCCGGAAUUAUUGGGCGUAAAGGGCUCGCAGGCGGUUUCUUAAGUCUGAUGUGAAAGCCCCCGGCUCAACCGGGGAGGGUCAUUGGAAACUGGGAAACUUGAGUGCAGAAGAGGAGAGUGGAAUUCCACGUGUAGCGGUGAAAUGCGUAGAGAUGUGGAGGAACACCAGUGGCGAAGGCGACUCUCUGGUCUGUAACUGACGCUGAGGAGCGAAAGCGUGGGGAGCGAACAGGAUUAGAUACCCGUGUAGUCCCUGUCUCUUAUAC
rnacentral:rRNA from 1 species